rnacentral:ncRNA from 1 species
GUAGUUUUUUUCUUUAUAGGAAAGUUUUAUUUUAGCUUUGAAAUUAACUGAUUAAUUUUUAUAUAUGUAAAUUAUUGUGUAUUUUAAUUUUUAAUAAAUUAAUUUAUUUUGCAGUGUGUAGAUUUAAAUUUUAAGGGAAUUUAGAUUUAGAAAUUUAAUUUAGUAUGGACAAAAUUUGUGCCAGCAGUUGCGGUUAUACAAAUUAGGCAAGUUAAUUAUAUUUAGUUCAAUUAGGUGAGAAUUUUUAAAUUUAAAAUAAAACUUUUUAGGUGAAAUUUUAAGUUUUAUGUAAAUUUAUUAAUUAAUUCUGAGGUUGGGAAAUUUACUUAAAAACUAGGAUUAGAUACCCUAUUAUUCUAAAUGUUAUUAUUUAACUAAAAUUAUUAUAAGUUAUGUUCUUUAAAGUUAAAGAAUUUGGCGGUAUUUUAGUCUUUUCAGAGGAACCUGUUUUUUAAUUGAUAGUCCACGAUAAGCUUUACUUUAACUAUUAAUUUAUAUAUCGUCGUUUACAAGAAUUUUAGUAGAAUUUAAAUUCUUGGGAUUUUUAAUUAUAAUAUAAUUCAGAUCAAGGUGUAGUUGAUGUUAAAGUUAAAAUGGGUUACAUUAUAGUAUAUAUGUGUUUAUUGAUUUCAAAAUUCAAUAUAAAAUGGAUUUGAUAGUAAUUUUAUUGUUUUUGUAAAAUGAUUAAGCUCUAAAAUAUGCACAUAUUGCCCGUCGCUUUCAUUAUAAGUGAAACAAGUCGUAACAAAGUAGGCUUAUUGGAAAAUGAGCCUGGAAUGA